CCGAGGAGUCCCAGUCGGCUGCGAGUCGUUGGAGCGAAUCGAGCUACUAACUCCGACGGCACAGUGAAAGCGAGAACGUGACACGUCGCUUUGCCAGCGGUUCCCCGCGCGCCGCCGUCGUCGGCUCGUCUGGCGUCGGUGCGCGCGCGCCGCUGGCGGCGUCUCGAAGCAUCGUUCCCGGGUCGGGCCAGCGCGCGUGGUGGCGCCUCACAAGGGCGUCGCCGCGUGCGCUCCGACUCAGGUGUAGCAGGCGGCCGGGGACCCGAAAGAUGGCGAUCCACGCCCGGUCGGGACGAAGCCAGAGGAAACUCUGGUGGAAGUCCGAAGCGCCUCUGACGUGCAAAUCGAUCGUCGGAACCGGGUGUAGGGGCGAAAGACCAAUCGAGCCGUCUA
rnacentral:rRNA from 1 species